ACGAGCGGCAUUCGGUCGCCCACAACGGGACCUCAGGUCAGGCGGGGCUACCCGCUGAGUUU
rnacentral:rRNA from 2 species